GUGUUUUCUUCACUUGCUAGAUGACUGAAUAGCCUACCUCUUUCUGGCAAAUUCUCUCGACGGAAACAACAAAGUGCAAAUGUGUGUACGAUUAUCUGUUUGGACUUUCAUUCAGAUGGCACCCAUUCACAAAAGAGGAUCCAUUGGUUAUACUAAAUUUCUCUAAAUCUGUUCCGACAAAGAAACAAACUCAUCUACAUCUUGUGUGGCCAAAGGGAGAUCGUGGAAGGGAAACUGGAGACAGCACACACCUCUUAUGAUGAUGGUGAAUGAUAAUAUCCACAAGGAGAUGACAACAGGAACAGACGUAGGAGCGAAGACCAGGAGAACAAACACAGAAGACCUUGUGACUGAUCGCUGUGGGUUUCUGUAGCAGGUGCAGCCGAAACCUUGCAGAGACCUUGAUAACAUCUCCACCUGGUGAGGAAUCGUUCAUCAGAGAUUGUGUGGGCAGAGGGAGUGUUUAAGGUAAAAAGGGCUCAAACUGUGUGAAUUAAUGAGUGUUAUUAUAAAGCACACUGUCUCUUGAAUGGAAAAAUAUAUAGAUGGAAAGACAGAGGAAAAAGAGAUGUAGCUGUGUGCAUGUCUUUUUUACUUUGUAAGAUGACAGAUGAAAAUAUGUAUUCCUUUCUCAUGGUGCAAUUGCACGACAGCUUCAUGCAAGUCAACAAGUGAAAGGGAGGAAGAGAGACUGAGAAGCUGAUGCCCUUAAUCCAUUUUGCAUGCCUGCACUGUCGUUUUACUCAGAAAAGCUGCGUUAGCCUAAUGAAGCACACACAUUCACAGGACAUGUCUACUGGCAUAGAAAGUGCCACUCAAUACCGACCAAAAUGCUUUCUUCAUCAUGGCAUGUGAUUUCUUUUAAGGGCCAAUAAAGUAGAGCCCUGCACGGGCCUCAAAUUUAGGCUCUAGCCCGGCCCUGGCCUGAGACACUCAGGCCCUAGCCCGGCCCGUGUCCGACACCUUAUCAGAAUUACCGGUCCGAUUCCGACCCAAGCCCGUCUUUUUCCCCACUUCUCCCGAAACAGCUUAUACUACUCUUUUGGCUAUUAAAAUAGUUCAUGUAUGUAGCCUAAUGGCAAAAUGGUUAUAUUUUGUUUUGUUUUUUUAUUAAGUUAAUUUAGAAAAACGUUUGGAGCAUUUUUGUUCGUUAAAUAUAGGUUUUUGUUUUUUAAAGUAACGGCCAGUGGCAGACAGUGAACUGAUCAUAGCCUAUGUUUGAUCAAUUUAGCCUUCUCAAAUCAUCACGACUUGCCUAAAAUAAAAUCUAUAUAUAUACUAAAACAGUUCAAGCAUAUAACAAUGUUUAAACGUUAAACCUGUGCUAUAAUAAUAAUGUUAUUUGUGCAAGUUUACAAGUUUGUGGAAGCUAAAGCGCGCUCUGCAGGACAUGCAGGUACCAGGGCAAUCACUUGCAUUUUUUUCAGUGGAAACAACUUAAAAUAGCCUACGCUGUAUUUUUUUUCUGAUAAAGGUAAGAGUAAUACAUCAUUCGGAACUGUAAAGGGUCUACUUUUAUUUGUGUGCACUCACAAUAUCAACAAAACGUUGUGCUUUUAUAAAACAAAGAAAACAAACAUGAUGCACUUUCUGCCAUCUCGUCUUGAACAGGAGCGCUUCACAAUAAUGAACCGAAGCUGAGCGAAUACAUGCCUCACAGACAUGAUAAAUAUAGAAAGCAUUAAAUUACCACUUAACAAAAAAAUAAAUAAAAAAAUCGAAAACAAAAACUUUUAUUAUAAUCAUAAUCCAUAAAGAUGCAUUUCUCUCUAAAGGUGCGUCUAAUGAGGAGACGGCAAGUCAGGAUCGGCAACUUCAUCCUUGCGAAACGGACUCGGAAAACACUAGUUUAUUAGUAGGCUAAAUAAUUGAAAUAUCCCCUUACUAUUUCUCUCGGACACAUUCAUGGUAAUUAUGUAUGCUGGGGCUUUGCGGCAAGCUUUAGCCUAUUGCGUGCAUUUGACGCAGAACUCUUCAGCUGGGCUGAAGUCACUUGCGUUCGCUGCUGCUGCGGAACACUUAACACCGCCAAGCCACUCUCGACAGACGCAGCAGCACGGUCUCGUGUUGUUUCCACCAGUGCAGCAAUUUUUUUUUUUCAUCACUAAUUGAUGGAUAUCUAAAAUAUAAAAAUAAAGAGAAACCUAAAACAGGCGAAAUGCAGGGCUCUACAAUAAAGGGCUUUUUUGCAAGAUGGUGCCACUAAUGGCUGCCUCCGUGGCAUGCUCCGCAGUUGUUUUUAUGUUUUUGUUAGUUUGUCCUGUCUUUAGUUAUAUCCCUGCAAUCAGUUUCACCAGAGACGAAUUGCUGGACAUUCGGCAAUACACAUCACCCGAUAUAUCACCGGUUUUCGACUAUUCUGAUGUUUUGCUGGACAUUAUAGUUGGCGGAGCAGCGGCGCUGAUCAAAUGCUUCAGGACGCGCAGACAGGGGAAACGAGCCGGCACGCUCGUGAAGCUCAGACAGCGCGGAUUUCGGACAGCACUGCCUAGCAUCCACCUGGCGAAUCUCCACUGUCUACCCAACAAAACUGACAAACUCCUUCUGCUCUCCCGGACAAAUAAAGGAUUUUGUAAACUGCUGCUCUGUGUUUCACGGAAACCUGGCUGAAUGACUCCGGAGAGUGCAUUAAGUCUGCCGGGCUUUCAACGGGGAAAUCGCGUGGCGGCGGGACAUGCUUUUACAUCAAUGAAAGGUGAUGUACAGAUUUAUCAGUGUUAAAGAAGAUGUGCUGUCGCGAUCUAGAAACAUUUUUCAUUAACUGUAAGCCUUUCUACUCACUGCGGGAGUUUUGCUCGUUCAUUCUCGUGAGUAUUUACAUUCCACCACAAGCGCACGUGAGCCUGGCUUUACAGAAACUAGCUGAUCAGAUCACAGAGAGAGAACAACAAUACCCAGACUUUUUUUUUAUCAUUCUUGGGGACUUUAAUAAAGCAAAUCUCUCCCGUGAACUGCCAAAAUACAGACAGCAUGUUACAUGUCCCUCCAGAGACAGUAAUAUAUUGAUCACUGUUACACAGCAAUAAAAUAUGCAUAUCACUCUGUCCCACAGGCAGCUUUAUGACUCUGAUCACUGUUUGGUUCAUCUUAUACCGACCUACAGGCAGAAACUGAAAUCAGCUAAACUUGUAUAAAGAACUGUUAAAAGAUGGACUAAUGAAGCAGAGCGGGAUUUAAAAGCCUGUUUCGACCUUACUGAUUGGAGUGUUUUUGAAGCUGCUGCCAAUGAUCUGGACAAGCUCACAAAGACUGUAACAUCUUAUAUCAGUUUCUGUGAAAAUAUGUGCAUUCCUACCAGGACUCAUUUAACUUACAACAACGACAAAUCGUGGUUCACUGCAAAACUCAGACAGCUCCGUCAGGCCAAAGACGAUGCUUACAGGACUAAGGAUUCAGUUCACUUCCAGCGACCAGCUGGCCCCCAUCUUCACACAGAUCUCCAACAGAUCACUGGAGCUGUGCGAAGUCCCUUCAUGCUUCAAACGCUCCACCAUCAUCCAAAAGAAAUCCAACAUUACAGGACUAAAUGACUACAGGCCUGUGGCUCUAACGUCUGUGGUUAUGAAGUCAUUUGAAAAACUGGUGUUGGCCCACCUGAAGGACAUUACUGGACCCCUUGCUGGAUCCUUUUCAGUUUGCCUACACAGCAAAAAAGUCUGUGGACGAUGCAGUCAACAUGGGACUGCAUUAUGUUCUGCAACAUCUAGACAGACCAUGGACUAAUGUGAGGAUCCUGUUUGUGGACUUCAGCUUGGCUUUUAACACUAUCAUUCCAAACCUCCUCCUGCCCAAACUAACUCAGCUCUCCGUGCUCAUCCAGCAACCGUACGAUCAGCACUGGAGAUCCUCAGGGCUGUGUUCUCUCCCCACUGCUCUUCUCCCUCUACACCAACGACUGCACAUCUAAAGACCCCUCUGUCAAGCUCCUGAAGUUUGCAGACGACACCACACUUAUUGGCCUCAUUCAGGAUGGUGAUGAGUCUGCUUACAGACAGGAGGUUAAGGAGCUGGCUGUCUGAACAACCUGGAGAUCAACAUGCUCAAUACGCUGUUGAGCGAAUCAUUGGUACAACCCUCCCUGCUCUCCAAGAACUGUACUUAUCCAGAGUGAGCAAAAGGGCUGGCAAAAUCACUCUGGACCCCUCACAUCCAGCACACUCCCUCUUUGAACUGUUGCCAUCUGGUCAACGCUACAGAGCUCUGAGCACCUGAACGGCCAGGCACAGGAACAGUUUCUUCCCUCAUGCAAUCCAUCUCAUGAACACUUGACAAUAAUUGUGGAACACACAACACUAUUUAUACACUUAUACACACAUACUUAGUCUACAUUUCAAUUUUGCACAUAAUAUAUCUGUACACACAAAACUGUCUAUUGUAAUAUACCUGUACAUACAAUUGUCAAUUUGUAUAUUGUUACUCCUUAUUUACUUGUUCAAUUUUUAAUUCUUUUAUUAUCUGUGUUUUUGUUUUGUCACUGUCAUUCUGUUGCACUGUCGAAGCUUCUGUCACAAAAACAAAUUUCUCGUAUGUGUAAACAUACCUGGCAAUAAAGCUCAUUCUGAUUCUGAUUCUGAUUCUAAAGUCAUCAUAUGCAGUGGCACCAAAAGGUUUUUGAACACAUAUGCUGAGCAUAUACAGAUGUCUUUGCAUUAUUUACAUUUACAUUUACAUUUAGUAAUUUUGCAGACGCUUUUAUCCAAAGCGACUUACAAUUGGGGAAUACAUAAAGCGAUUCAUCUUGAAGAGGCAAUCAGACAAACGAAGUGCUUGUAACACCAAGUCUCAGGCAUUGUUUAAAUAAGUACAAGCUAGUAAGGGAUGGAAUAAAUAAAGAGAAAGAGAUUUUUUUUUUUUUUUUAAGUGUAGGAUGAAGUCAAGUAGUGUCGAAAGAGAUGAGUUUUCAGCUGUUGCUUGAAGAUUGACAGGGAUCCAGCACUCCGGAUAGGGGUAGAAAGAUCAUUCCACCAGCCAGGAAUGGUGACCGAGAAUGUUCUGGAGAGUGAUUUUGAGCCUCUUUGUGAUGGUACCACGAGGCGUCGCUCACUAGCAGAUCUCAGACUUCUGGAGGGGAUGUAGAUUCUUAAUAGUGAGUGCAAGUAGGCAGGUGCUGAGCCUGUGGUUGUUCUAUAAGCAAGCAUCAGUGUCUUGAACUUGAUGCGAGCUGCGACUGGUAGCCAAUGCAAUGAGAUAAAGAGAGGUGUAACAUGGGCUCUUUUGGGUUCGUUGAAGACCAGUCGUGCUGCCGCAUUCUGAAUCAUUUGUAGAUUAUCAUUAUAUAUCCAAAUAUCAAACUAUUACCUUAUAGAAAGUACAGCAUAAAUACAGCUUAUACUAUGGGGCCGUUGAAUGCUUGAAUCUGAUUGGCUGACGAACGUUCUAAGGUGUGCAAUUAUUUUCAGGGAAAUGCACGGCGAACGUAGUUCCAGGCAGGCCUUGACCGCAUUACAUGUCCAUAUCACUUCGCCAAAUGAUUUGAGUUAUUUCAAAGGUCCUUGUUCUGCCCUUUGGGUAUUAUCUUGUUAGAGUAAUUAGGACCUUUAGCGUCAAUUAUAGUAUUGCGGCCUGAACCAGGAAGUUAUUUUAAGAAUCUAAGCGCAUGGUGAAGAUCGUUCCAGCUGCAAUAAUCCUUUGUUGCGUUCUGAAUUCACAUUAGAAAGAACUGCCUGUAAGUGAUUUAUAUUUUCUAUGUUACAGUAUUUCUAAUAAUAGAUUUGUGGCAAAUUCAUGUUGAUUUAAAAUCAUAAAAUAUUUGUGUUUAAUUCAUGACUGGUCGUUUACCCAGAUAAUCUAUUUAGUUGUAAUUAAGUUCUGUUAUUAUUAUACAAGCUACAAUUUCAUCUUAGUGUAUUUUUUUUUGUGUUUAUUUUCAGUUUCACUCCUUUGUUCAUGUCUACAUGCAGUCUCUAUUAAACGGAGCUAAAAAGCUAUAUCCCGACUCUCAUGUUAUUCAUGAAGAGAGUUUGGCUGGCUGUCUAAUCUUGGUUAAGAACACCAGUUGGAGGACAGUACAGUCCUUAAAGCCUAAAACAGCAAAAGAACCAAAACCGAAAACGACAAAUAAAUAUAGUAUACAAUAGGAUAAAAACAAUAGAUCUUUUCCAUGUUUUUGCCACAAAAUUACGUUUUAUUAUGUACGGAAAGCACAUGCUCUAUCUCUCCUGCUCUCUCUCCCUCAAAGACGCACAUACAGUUUGCACACACUUUUUAAACAUACGCACUAAUGUUGUUAGAGCUACUCUGACGAUUUGAUCAGUAAGAUCAACUUAAAAACUACAUGACUUCUCACAAGCGAGGUAACAACAAUGGCGCUGUUCGUGGAGAAAAUUAACAUAAAAGUUUCACUAUUACUACUAGAGACAUUUCUGCCAAACACUUUUGAGACUCACAGAGGUAAUCUCUCUCUCUCUCUAAUAACUUAGUUAAUAACUGUAUUAGUCUGCUAUCAACGGCUCAAACCUAUGUUACUAACGUUAGGUUUAAAAUGACGUUUUGGAAUUAGCAACGGAGGCAUUGGGUGAGAUGCGGAAGAAAUAAUCAUACUCUCAAUAGCGUUUUAAGUAGAAAAACUGGACAAAUGCCUUGAAAUAUAUCAUCUGAUCGAUGUCUUGAGGUGUGGUAACCGUAGUAUAAGCGGAAUAAUUGACUUUGGUCCCUUGAAUUCUUAGAAAAUAAUGCACACCCGAGGUGGUGAUGCGGCCACGAUGCGAAGCGGAGGGAAAAAAAUAUUAUUUUCUAAGAAUUCAACGGCCCAUCGUCAAUUAUUCCUUACAUUUAAUACUAUAUAACAAUA